rnacentral:rRNA from 1 species
CUACGGGUGGCUGCAGUGGGGAAUAUUGCGCAAUGGGGGCAACCCUGACGCAGCAACGCCGCGUGAAGGAAGAAGGUUUUCGGAUCGUAAACUUUUGUCUUAUGGGACGAACGAUGACGGUACCAUAGGAGGAAGCCACGGCUAACUACGUGCCAGCAGCCGCGGUAAUACGUAGGUGGCAAGCGUUGUCCGGAAUUACUGGGUGUAAAGGGCGCGUAGACGGGCAGAUAAGUCAGAUGUGAAAUACCGAGGCUCAACCUCGGGGCUGCAUUUGAAACUAUCAGUCUUGAGUGCAGGAGAGGGAAGCGGAAUUCCUAGUGUAGCGGUAAAAUGCGUAGAUAUUAGGAGGAACACCAGUGGCGAAGGCGGCUUUCUGGACUGUAACUGACGUUGAGGCGCGAAAGCGUGGGUAGCAAACAGGAUUAGAUACCCUGGUAGUC